GACGAACGCUGGCGGCGCGCCUAACACAUGCAAGUCGAACGGUGAACGGGGCUUCGGCCCCGGGAUCAGUGGCGAACGGGUGCGUAACACGUGGGCAACCUGCCCCAGACCCUGGGAUAACCCCGGGAAACCGGAGCUAAUACCGGAUACUCCGACCGAACCGCAUGGCUCGGCCGGGAAAGGUCCGCCGGUCUGGGAUGGGCCCGCGGCCUAUCAGCUUGUUGGUGGGGUCACGGCCUACCAAGGCGACGACGGGUAGCUGGUCUGAGAGGACGACCAGCCACACUGGGACUGAGAUACGGCCCAGACUCCUACGGGAGGCAGCAGUGGGGAAUCUUGCACAAUGGGCGAAAGCCUGAUGCAGCGACGCCGCGUGAGGGAUGAAGGCCCUCGGGUUGUAAACCUCUUUCGGCAGGGACGAAGCGAUCGUGACGGUACCUGCAGAAGAAGCCUCGGCUAACUACGUGCCAGCCGCCGCAGUAAGAC
rnacentral:rRNA from 1 species